rnacentral:misc_RNA from 1 species
GGGGAUGUCCCAAUUUGGUUAAGAUCAAGGUGAAGCAAUGCAGGGGAGUGAGCAGUGAAUUUGUGGAAUGUUUGCAGCAGCAAAAAGCCUCACUACUUGUUAAUAUUGAUGCUGCCAGUGACAAUGAAGGUUUAGAUGUUAGUUUGAGCGAUGGUGGAGGUCAAGAAAGUGGUUUAGAGUUUCCUGUGAUGGGUGGUCAAGUGGCUGUUGCUGAUGGUCC